rnacentral:misc_RNA from 1 species
GAUGAAGAACGUAGUGAAAUGCGAUAAGUAAUGUGAAUUGCAGAAUUCAGUGAAUCAUCGAAUCUUUGAACGCACAUUGCGCCCCCUGGUAUUCCGGGGGGCAUGCCUGUCCGAGCGUCAUUACAACCCUCAAGCUCAGCUUGGUGUUGGGCCCCGCCGCCCCGGCGGGCCCUAAAGUCAGUGGCGGUGCCGUCCGGCUCCGAGCGUAGUAAUUCUUCUCGCUCUGGAGGUCCGGUCGUGUGCUCGCCAGCAACCCCCAACUUUUACAGUUUGACCUGGGAUGAGGUAGGGAUACCCGCUGAACUUAAGCAUAUCAAUAAGCGGAGGA